ACGAUGACGGUGGGCAUGACCUUCUUUCUGAGGUCAAGUUCUCCCUCACAGUGACGGCGGGCAUGACCUUCUUUCAGAGGUCAGGUUUCCUCACACAAUGAUGCACACCGGGAAGCACUCAUGGUCGAAGGUGUGCCUAAGCACGGGCUUCGGACGGUCAGGGUGAAAUACGAUCGGAUCUAUCUCUUCUACCCUCGCCUUCUUCGCCGACCCGAAAGUUGCAGCGCCUUUCCGCUCGUGGGCUCUGAGAUUCUGGGCUGACAUCCGAGCCACGUCCACACCC
rnacentral:lncRNA from 1 species